rnacentral:misc_RNA from 1 species
AGUAUAACACCCGGUUAUCACCAGGUGGGUUUGAUUUGCUGUGAUUUUGAUAAUUGGGAAUUAUUAAGAUUAUUUUUAUCAUGUUCACUUUAUUUUGUAUUUAUGUGAUGUGCACUGUUGAAUUUGUUUAUCUACGUAUCGAAAUGUUGAUUUCUCCUCAGUCAGUGCUCUGAUGUAGUGUGAGAGUGGAGGGAAGAAAAUUACUUUGACUUAGAUUGGAGGGAGUUCAUGGCAAUGGAUUUAUCCAACAAUUUGUUAAAGAGACAUACUUGGUGUAUGCCACUUUCAUAAAUGCAUUGUGAGAUGGAUAAGUUUUAUUUCAAAGUACAUGUGCAACCUUUGAUCAGUGCUGCAGAUCAUAAGUUUGAAGUACUUGGAAGGUCUUGGAUUCAUCAAACCUCACAAAAACAACCAACUUGAAUAAGAUAGUCUGCUUUCCAUUGUUUUAUGUCAUUAAUACAUCUAGUGUAUGAUUGUUUCAUGUCAUAUUGAUUUACGAAGACAUUUUAAUGCAGUACAAAUUUUUGGUUGACGGA